rnacentral:rRNA from 1 species
UACGUAGGCAGCGAGCGUUGUUCGGAGUUACUGGGAGUAAAGCGUGCGUAGGCGGUGUCUUAAGUUUGUUGUGAAAUCUCCCGGCUUAACCGGGAGGGUGCGGCGAAUACUGAGAUGCUGGAGUGCGGGAGAGGUAAGCGGAAUUCCUGGUGUAGCGGUGAAAUGCGUAGAUAUCAGGAGGAACACCUGCGGUGUAGACGGCUUACUGGACCGUAACUGACGCUGAGGCACGAAAGCGUGGGUAGCAAACAGG